AUAAUUAACACAUUGCCAUAACAGAUGAAAAUAAUGUGUACAGAAAAGGCAGGUGAUAUAAAACUGACAGCUGAAAGCUGAAGUUUACACAAUCAUCUUAAACCUAGCAAUUGAAAAUUUUUAAAAAACUGCACAUGAUGGUGUCCGAGUUUAGUGAAGAUUUAGAAGAAAGUUUUUGAUUAAAUGAAAUUAAACAAAAUAUUUAUUUAAAAAGGCAUACAAUUUAAUACUUAACCAAAAAAUAAAGAUGAAAAAUUGAGGGCACAAUUCAGGUUGUUUUCAGAACUUAAAACACAGUCAUGGGAGGCUGGUGAUUAGAGAAACUAUUUGAAGUUUCACAAUCAGAGCAGCUGGUCAGAGAUGACAGAAGAUGAUGCUGAAUUGUAUGAAGCAAAUGCAAAAGAGUGAUUGGGG